rnacentral:rRNA from 1 species
AAUAGAUACCCGGGUAGUCCACGCCGUAAACGUUGGGUACUAGGUGUGGCGUCCCGAUCAACGGAUGCCGUGCCGAAGCUAACGCAUUAAGUACCCCGCCUGGGGAGUACGGCCGCAAGGCUAAAACUCAAAGGAAUUGACGGGUCCCCGCACAAGCGGCGGAGCAUGCGGCUUAAUUCGAUGCAACCCGAAGAACCUUACCUGGACUUGACAUCAUGGGAAAAGCCGUAGAAAUACGGUGUCCGUAAGGGUCCAUGACAGGUGGUGCAUGGCUGUCGUCAGCUCGUGUCGUGAGAUGUUGGGUUAAGUCCCGCAACGAGCGCAACCCUUGUCCUAUGUUGCCAGCGCGUUAUGGCGGGGACUCAUAGGAGACUGCCGGGGACAACUCGGAGGAAGGUGAGGACGACGUCAAGUCAUCAUGCCCCUUAUGUCCAGGGCUGCACGCAUGCUACAAUGGCCGGUACAACAGGCAGCGAACUCGCGAGGGUGAGCGAAUCCUCAAAGCCGGCCUCAGUUCGGAUUGGAGUCUGCAAC